rnacentral:rRNA from 1 species
AUUGAACGCUGGCGGCAUGCCUUACACAUGCAAGUCGAACGGCAGCACGGGUGCUUGCACCUGGUGGCGAGUGGCGAACGGGUGAGUAAUACAUCGGAAUGUACCUUGUAGUGGGGGAUAGCUCGGCGAAAGCCGGAUUAAUACCGCAUACGCUCUGAGGAGGAAAGCGGGGGACCUUCGGGCCUCGCGCUACAAGAGCAGCCGAUGUCAGAUUAGCUAGUUGGUGGGGUAAAAGCUCACCAAGGCGACGAUCUGUAGCUGGUCUGAGAGGACGACCAGCCACACUGGGACUGAGACACGGCCCAGACUCCUACGGGAGGCAGCAGUGGGGAAUAUUGGUCAAUGGACGCAAGUCUGAACCAGCCACGUCGCGUGAAGGAAGACGGCCCUACGGGUUGUAAACUUCUUUUAUACGGGAUAAAGUGCCCCACGCGUGGGGUUUUGCAUGUACCGUAUGAAUAAGGAUCGGCUAACUCCGUGCCAGCAGCCGCGGU